CCUACGGGUGGCAGCAGUGAGGAAUAUUGGUCAAUGGACGAGAGUCUGAACCAGCCAAGUAGCGUGAAGGAUGACUGCCCUAUGGGUUGUAAACUUCUUUUAUAUGGGAAUAAAACGUUCCACGUGUGGGAUUUUGUAUGUACCAUAUGAAUAAGGAUCGGCUAACUCCGUGCCAGCAGCCGCGGUAAUACGGAGGAUCCGAGCGUUAUCCGGAUGUAUUGGGUUUAAGGGGGGCGUAGGUGGAUUGUUAAGUCAGUUGUGAAAGUUUGCGGCUCAACCGUAAAAUUGCAGUUGAAACUGGUAGUCUUGAGUACAGUAGAGGUGGGCGGAAUUCGUGGUGUAGCGGUGAAAUGCUUAGAUAUCACGAAGAACUCCGAUUGCGAAGGCAGUUCACUGGACUGCAACUGACACUGAGGCUCGAAAGUGUGGGUAGCAAACAGGAUUAGAUACCCCUGUAGUC
rnacentral:rRNA from 1 species